UACGAAGGGGGCUAGCGUUGUUCGGAAUUACUGGGCGUAAAGGGCGCGUAGGCGGUCCUUCAAGUCAGGCGUGAAAGCCCCGGGCUCAACCUGGGAACCGCGCUUGAGACUGGCACGCUAGAGUUCGGGAGAGGAUGGUGGAAUUCCCAGUGUAGAGGUGAAAUUCGUAGAUAUUGGGAAGAACACCGAUGGCGAAGGCAGCCAUCUGGACCGACACUGACGCUGAGGCGCGAAAGCGUGGGGAGCAAACAGG
rnacentral:rRNA from 1 species